AGUUCCCUCAUGGCAGUUAAAUGUUUCCCUGGGCAGAGGGAGAGGGAAAAAAGGAUAUUAUCAAUGAACAACUUCCUCUGAUACGAACCCCACACCAAAGGCGUAGCACCUGCAGAUACCCAGGGGAAACACUGCGGAGAAUUGCCACAGACUCGGAGAAACUUGCAGGCUCGGCACUUCUCAUUAUGCAACAGCAGAGCCACCGCGAAACUGCGCAGAGUCGUCAUCGCCCGAGUUCUCAGAUUAAUAUCAUACAGAUGUAAACAGUGGAAACGAAGGGGAAAAUGGGAAUAUUUUCCGUGUCAGACCCUCAGAAAGCUGAAUCAGAGAGCAAUUAACUCUCACUUACAGUACGCAGUGAUAAGGCUUUAUGAGAUUGGAGAACGACGUGACUUUCGUUAAUAAACAAGCAGGGGUUCAUGCCUAUCAGGUUAGUAAGGUUCUUAAGAAUGCAUAAACAUAGUAUGAAUGUAUAGAUAAUCUGAUGCUUUUUUUCUGUAGCACCUGUCAUGGUACACCAUACCAAGGCAUUGUCUGUAACACAGGAAAAAUUCUGUGUUAGCUUGUUUGUUAAAAAUGCUGGCAAAUAAACAUGAUUAAGCACCUUUUA